rnacentral:rRNA from 1 species
UAACGAAUCUUCCCCAAUGCACGAAAGUGUGAGGGAGCGACGCCGCGUGGAGGAUGAAGUCCUUCGGGAUGUAAACUCCUGUCAGGGGUUAGAAAGUUCUGAUCAACCCCAGAGGAAGUGGCGGCUAACUCUGUGCCAGCAGCCGCGGUAAGACAGAGGCCACAAGCGUUAGGCGGAAUCACUGGGCUUAAAGCGUGUGUAGGCGGACCGUUAAGUGCUUUGUGAAAUCCCCCGGCUCAACCGGGGAAUGGCUGGGCAUACUGGCGGUCUUGAGCUGCCUAGGGGUCACUGGAACAAACGGUGGAGCGGUGAAAUGCGUAGAUAUUCGGAGGAACACCAGUGGCGAAGGCGGCCUACUGGGCUCUAACUGACGCUGAGGCUCGAAAGUGUGGGGAGCAAACA